GACGAACGCUGGCGGCGUGCUUAACACAUGCAAGUCGAACGCUGAAGCUUGGUGCUUGCACUGGGUGGAUGAGUGGCGAACGGGUGAGUAAUACGUGAGUAACCUGCCCUUGACUCUGGGAUAAGCCUGGGAAACUGGGUCUAAUACUGGAUACGACAUGUCACCGCAUGGUGGUGUGUGGAAAGGGUUUUACUGGUUUUGGAUGGGCUCACGGCCUAUCAGCUUGUUGGUGGGGUAAUGGCUCACCAAGGCGACGACGGGUAGCCGGCCUGAGAGGGUGACCGGCCACACUGGGACUGAGACACGGCCCAGACUCCUACGGGAGGCAGCAGUGGGGAAUAUUGCACAAUGGGCGGAAGCCUGAUGCAGCGACGCCGUGUGAGGGAUGACGGCCUUCGGGUUGUAAACCUCUUUCAGCACGGAAGAAGCGAAAGUGACGGUACGUGCAGAAGAAGCGCCGGCUAACUACGUG
rnacentral:rRNA from 1 species